rnacentral:rRNA from 1 species
UUGAACGCUUGCGGCAGGCCUCACCCAUGCCAGUCGCACGGUAACAGAAAGCAGCUUGCUGCUUUGCUGACGAGUGGCGGACGGGUGAGUAAUGUCUGGGAAACUGCCUGAUGGAGGGGGAUAACUACUGGAAACGGUAGCUAAUACCGCAUAACGUCGCAAGACCAAAGAGGGGGACCUUCGGGCCUCUUGCCAUCGGAUGUGCCCAGAUGGGAUUAGCUAGUAGGUGGGGUAACGGCUCACCUAGGCGACGAUCCCUAGCUGGUCUGAGAGGAUGACCAGCCACACUGUAACUGAGACACGGUCCAGACUCCUACGGGAGGCAGCAGUGGGGAAUAUUGCACAAUGGGCGCAAGCCUGAUGCAGCCAUGCCGCGUGUAUGAAGAAGGCCUUCGGGUUGUAAAGUACUUUCAGCGGGGAGGAAGGGAGUAAAGUUAAUACCUUUGCUCAUUGACGUUACCCGCAGAAGAAGCACCGGCUAACUCCGUG